GCAGUCUGCGGGCGGGAGGGUGCCAGCGAGGUGGUGAGGGCGGCCGGUGCGGGGGCGCAGCAGCCCUGGCCAAGCCCAGAGACCGGAGGCACCCCCCUCCCAGCGCUCUAACACGGGCAACUUCCCGCUGCCCGGGACGGAGUUUCUCCGUUGCCCACGGACAUCCAGGAGGCGGUGUGGAGGGCAAGCAGGGUAACCCCCACUCCUAAACCACAUCUAUCCAAGGGGAACCCAAGGAGCCAGCAGGUCCGGACUCGCUGAGGAGGCUCCUCGUGGGGCCUCCCACGCACAGUGGGGUCAUGACCUGCAGGUUGAGACCCACUGAUGGAGCAGGUUCUGAAGAGCCGACAGCAUGCUGAUGAAUGAGAUAAGAGCUCUGGAAGGAUCCCGAGAGAUUUUUUCCCCUUGAGCUGGAUCCUCAUUUCCUUGUGUGGGAGCAAGGACAACCCCACAGGGGAAGCCCGCGGCACUGUGCAAGCUUGUAGCGAACACCGGGCAAAUGACCAUGAGAAAUAAAGAAUCUGGAGAAGCCUUGGAACAAUGAGGGGAAGACAUGGCCAGUGUCAAAGAGAGAGCAUCCUCAGGGGUGCUGAGCUGGACCAGCGGGUAUCUCCAGGCAGCCUCUGCUAAUGAGCUCUAAGCAGGUAAACAGCUCUUCCUUGACCCCCUUCAGGAAAUGCAAGAGACAGGACCCACCUGAGCUGGUCCUUUCUGCGAAGCAGAAACCAUCCGUUCUACAGUCCCUUAAUGCUCCCCUGGUUGGGAGCUCUCUGCUCUCUGGGGCUAGGGCCUCAGACCUCCAGGUAGAGUGGGAAAGACCCAGGCUGUUGGGGAGCAGGGCUCCUAGGAAGCUUUCUACCUAUAUUUUGGAAGAACUUAGGAAGAAGGGUCACUGUAGUUACUUAAGACCAUGGAGGUUGGGGGCAGGCCAAAUGGGGCUGGCCUGGAGCCUCUGCCUUUCUUCACCACACCACGGUAUCUGCUGAUACUGACCAGGAUCCAUGCCUCUUCUGGAGGUUCUCGGUGAGUCCACAGGGGGAGUUGGGGGUGCUGGUGCUGUGGAAUCCAGGACAUAGGAGAUGCCUGGAAUGACUGACUCCCCGUCAUAGCAGGAGAGUGUAGAAUCCUCACAGGGCAGAAGAGGAGAGGACAGAGGAGGAGAAGAUUCCAGCUGCCCUACAUGCCAGGGCACACACUUGCUCUGCUCGCUGCCAGGUAGGAAGGAGAUUGAUGUGAGGUGGGUAGAAGCAGGUGCAGCUGGGAUUCCUGUCACCCGGCUGCCUGAGUGCAUCCUGAGGCUCUGCCUCUCUCGCCUUCCCUCUUCCACCCUCCUUCUUUCCAGGUCCUGGCUCUACUUCCCAGACUCCAUUUGCAGAUGCAAACAAGCCCCAGUCCGGCAGGGGCUGCACCCGCCGCGACCUUUCCACAGCUGUCUCCUUUGGGUCUUUUUGCGGUCUGGGCUUGCUGUUCUCUCCACAGUAGUCAGGAAGCCCUUACCCCAAAAAGUAUCUGCGGGAGGCUUGGUCUACAGGAGAGACCCCCAAGGGCUCCGGGUGAGCACACCAAAGCCAAGGAGACCACGUGGUUCCAGAGCAUCUCUGCCCUGCCUCAGUACUGCUGGGUGGUCGUGGAUCAAGCCCUAAGCCUUAGGUUCUCAGUCUUCCUAAUGCUGUGACCCUUUCUUUAAUACAGAUCUUUAUCUCGUGGCGACCCCAGCCAUAAUAUCGUUUUGCUGCUACUUUGUAAUUGUAGUUUUAUACUGUUAUGAAUCAUAAUGUAAAUAUCUGGUAGUGGGAUAUCUGUGACCCCCCCAAAUGGGCAGUGACUCACAGGUUGAGAACCACUGCCCUAAGGUUUUCUGUGCCCCAGCGACCUCAUACUUUUCCUGAUAAUGUUUAGUAAAAGUGGUUCCAGUCAUGGCUAGACAAGGCCAUUUGGGUAGAUAGAUGUUGCUGGCUAUCUUGGGCACUCCUGGCAGGGCUGUCGCUUAAUAUGUCCAGCCCUCCUGUGCACUGGGUAGACAUGAGAUCCAAGGCAGGCCUGGCUGUUGGAAUCCUGUGCAGAGGGACCUGUGGCAGGGAACACCACAGUAGAUCCCAGCAGCAGUGUGACGAUGGUGAGCUUCUGCAGCAGGAUGAGGUGUCCCGGCAUCUGCCUGCCAUCCCUCAGCCUGAGUCAGUCGCCAUGCCCUCCUUCCUCCUGUGAGUCACUACUAGUCCUUCGAAUAAAAUCCUUGGCUGCUCAAGUUAACCGAACGGAUACUAUUACUAACGUCUGAUUCACCGCCAUCUAGAGGGAGGAGGGGGGAUUGCACACGCGAGAGAAAAGGGGCCGAUUUGGGGGAAAUCUGAGUCAUCCUUGGAGGAGGCAUUGGUAGGGUCCAUAGGCAAGGCUUGAGGUAAAAUCCAGGGGGAACUUUCUGAAGCGCCAUGUUGGAAUAAAGGGCAGAGGACAGACAUAACAUAGAAAGAUUUAAAGUCACCGAGUCCUUCCAAAGGUGGUAAGGAUAAUUACAAGUGACUCCUGCCAGUUUAAGGGUCUUGGGUAUAACUCUACAGCUGUGGCAACACGUCAAGGAUGGACAGACACAUGGGUAUCCAUCUCAUUCUCUUCCCCCAUCCCGCCUCCGUACUUCCUGGCCUGGAGAAGGACAGGCUCUGUGCCCUGCCUUAUCUGGAUCUCUCUGCUCUCUACACCCCGGUGCAGCCCGGGACAAGGAGUAAGAAGUCUUGAGAAACAAAGUCCCCAGAAGGUUCCAUCCCUGUGCAGAACCACUAGAGGCGAUUCUAAGGGGAUGCGUGAGCUGGUGUGUGAGUCUCGCUGAGUUCAAGAGUGCCCAAGGAGCCCAAGUGCAGUUGCUGGAGUGUGCUGCGGAGGUUCAGGAAGGAGAGCUGAGUUCACAGGUCAGAAGGGAAGACUGUAGGCGGGUGGGGCAAACGCCUCCACCUGGAAACAGGAAGACGUCGGCGGAGGAGGCACGACGUGGACAGGCCACGUUACAAGGCUGACUCAACAUGUGACCAUAGGAACUCAGGGUCCUGAUGCUCCCUGACUUACCAAUUCUGGUUCCAACAAAGCAGGUUUGCUAGGCCACGGUCCCCAGCGUAUGGGGUGCGUGGCUCAAGGGCGGCAUCGUGCGGUCGUCCUGGGGUACUUCACCCUACAUCCUCUAUUGAUGAGUGAGGGUAUUGUCUGACUCUGGAGGACAGUGGUCUUCCCCCGCAGAUUAGGAAUUUCUGCACUAAGAUGUCCUUCGCUCAGAGCCGUAGAGCCUGGGGCGAGGUAGAGGUAGGCAGAAAGGAUGCUUGUGUGAGGCACCCUUCAGUGAGGUCGUUUACAGUUUGUUCAUCACCCGGGAUAAGUCACCUCUCUAAAUGGGUUUCUAGGUCCACAGCCUGGACUUUUGACUGCCCCUUGCUCCUCAGUAUCUCAAGUCCUAGUUCGACUCCCUCGGGGAACUGUUCCCAUUAGAGGGCAUCUUUUGGAAAAGAUUUCAGCUCCCAACGUUCAUAGGAAGAACCUGGGCUUCCAAGUAAGUCAGAUCUGUCUUCUAGGACUAGCUGUGCGCUUUUGGGAAAAUUCUUAACCCUCUCUGUGCUUCACUUUGCUCAUCCUAAAAACAGGGGUAAUAACACCUUCCGUGUAAGGCCGUGGGUCCCGACUCUGAGCCUAAUGAAUGUCAACUCUGGCGGGGAUCCACUUGGCCACCUGUGUACAGCUGUUCUUCUAGAGGUGUGUGUGUGUGUGUGUGUGUGUGUGUGUGUGUGUGUGUGUGUGUGUGUGUUUUGUUUUGAGACAGAAUUUAUAUAUGCCAACCCCAGACCUUGCUAAAGAAGAAAAAUAAAGAACUAGGUAGGAUUUCCCUCUGUGGAGAGAAGCAAUGUAGUGGUGGGGGCGGGGGUGGUGGUGGAGGGAUCAGACUUCCAACGGCCAUGGAGGUGGUUGAUGCAGCCAGUUUCCUGUAUUCUCAAUUUUACCCCCCACAUCUGAAUAAGGGAGAUGGGGUCAAUUUCUGUGAGCCCUGAGAUGGGUGGGGAAAGCCCUUUUGGGCAUCCAUUUCUGCAGCAGAGAAAACACACUGUGAACACUUGUUGGAAACACAGGGAAGGAAACCCGGAGAAGGUUCUCCCUUAUCUGUGCCCUUCUCAUGUAAAGGCAUGUAAAGUGUUGCUGGGGUUUUGUAUCACUUUCUUUACCCUGCCCCCACCUCAGUUUUGAAGUACUUCAGCCUUACAGCAAAGUACAAUGGGAAAUAGAGCGAGGGCCACGUACCUACCCCAACAAAUGACAGGAUGCUAACGUUUUGCUGUGUUUACAUCAGAUUCUUAAAACAAACAAACAAACAAAUAAAGAAACAAAAAACACCCAAAGCACCUCACUGCUGAAGUCCCUUCGGGCCUCUUUCUCUCUCCAAACACACAGCCGCCAGCCUGCAAUCCCCGGAUAAUUUUCUCACACACGUGCUGGCCCCAUAUUACUCAUAAAUGACAACUAACAAUACUUUGAGUGAGUGCUCUUUAGUUUGCAUAAGCGAUGUCAGAGUGACCUUAUCGUUUGAGAACUUGCUGUGUGGUUUUUAAAAGAUCUAGUAUUGUGUUUCCAAGCACACCAAUCUUACCUUCUGAAUAACUGGACGGUACAGGAAACCCACAGUUCACGCCCUCACCCCCAAUGGACAUUUCAGUUUGCCACAGUCUGGAUACGGCUUGUUCCUUCUGAAACUCAUGUUGGAAUUUGAUUGCCAUCACUUCAGUGUUCAUCAGGGGCCUCCAUCUUCGUGAAUGGCUUAAUCCAUUCAUGGACUAAUAGGUCAGCUCAAGAAUGACGUCCUUAUAAAAGCGAAUCUCACCUGAAGAGAAACGCAUGUUGGGCAUUUCAUCUUAGGCUCGGGCAGGAGGAUUUUAAGUUUGAAGCCAGUAGCAACUGUCUCAGUCACUGCUCUAUUGCUGGGAAGAGACUCCAUGACUAAGGCAACUCUCAUAGAAGAAAGCAUUUAAUUGGGGGCCUUCAGAGGUUUAGUUUAUUACCCUCUGAGAGCAUGCUGGGAUACAUGCAGGAGCCGUGCUGGGAUACAUGCAGGAGCCGUGCUGGAGAAAUAGUUGAAAGCUACAUCCUGAUCCACAGACAGAAAAGUGGAGAGAGAAGGGUCCUGGAAUAAACUUUUGAAACCUCAACCCCUGCGUCCACACACAUGCACACAAGACAUACUUCCUCCAAUCCCUCUAAUUCUAUUAAAGAGCUCACUCCCAAGUGACUAGGGUUCAAAUAUAUGAGCCUAUAGGGGACAUUCUUAUUCAAACCAUAGCAGCAACUUAAGCGAGAUCUCAAAAUAAAAGGAGCACAAUGGCUGGAGAGGAAGGCCAAUGGUUCUGGCUUGAAUCGCCAGCGCUAUUAAACCGAACAAAGACAGCGACAGGUAAAGAUAUAGGUAAGUAUAGAAAGGGGAAUGGUAGUAGUAAGAUGCCUUAGCCCAACAUCCAGAUUGGAUCCCAGGAAUUUACAUGCUGGAAGGAAAUACUCAGCUGUCCUCUGACCACUACAUACAAGCAAUGGCAUGUGUGGCUGACCACUACAUACAUGCAAUGGCAUGUGUGGCUGACCACUACAUACAUGCAAUGGCAUGUGUGGCUGACCACUACAUACAUGCAAUGGCAUGUGUGGCUGACCACCACAUACAUGCAGUGGCGUGUGUGGCUGUCCAUCACAUACGUGCAGUGGCAUGUGUGGCUGCACUUUCACUCCUUGCUGCUGCAUGUUUGCAUGUGCACACAGACAUACAGAUUGAAUAAACACUAAACCAAAACUAAGAAAAACAAACAACAGAGAAAGCAGUGAGCUCCCUGACUAGCUUGUUCUUUCUCACCUGAGAUGUGCUCCGCCAUGUUUUGAUGCAGUAGGAAGACCCUGUUCUGUACGGUCCAGAGAAUGAUCUCCAGUGACCAUGCUUAAACAUAUAGUAAGCAAAAGUUUGAGAGAGAGAGAGAGAGAGAGAGAGAGAGAGAGAGAGACAGCAGUUCGACAUCAUCAAAUAAGGCAUCUCCAUCAUCUGGCAUAAGUGACCGAUGUGGUCUAAUUGGACAAGCAGACAAAGGUGGCAUCAUGGAGUCGGGCUUACACCAGAAUUGACUGGGGAAGUAGAAGCAGUAGGCUGGAGUUCCUGACUGGGUUGCCUUCCACAGAAGAGUUUCUCACCACUUGGAAAUCCUUUACCUCCCAGCUGCUGUUCUCAAGGACACGAUGCUUUUAAUACCCUUGGCUGCCAGCUAUCUGCCAUUCUCUUUGUUACAGAACCAGACUGCAGUUACAGGCCAGGCUGACUCAAGAUAAGGAGUUUUGGAGACAAGGGAAGGCAUUUUUGCUUCACAUACAUGCAGUGGCAUGUGUGGCUGACCACCACAUGCAUGAAGUGGCAUGUGUGGCUGACCAUCACAUACAUGCAGUGCCAUGUGUGGCUGACCAUCACAUACAUGAAGUGGCAUGUGUGGCUGACCAUCACAUACAUGCAGUGCCAUGUGUGGCUGACCACCACAAACAUGAAGUGCCGUGUGUGGCUGACCAUCACAUACAUGCAGUGGCAUGUGUGGCUGACCACCACAUACAUAAAGUGGCAUGUGUGGCUGUCCAUCACAUACAUGCAGUAGCAUGUGUGGCUGUAUUUUCACUCCUUCUGCUGCAUGUUUGCAUGUGUGCACAGACAUACAUAUUAAGUAAACACUAAAGCAAAGCUAAGGAAACCACAGUCACCACAGACAGAGCAGUGCGCUCUGCCUAGCUUGUUCUCACCUGAGAUGUGCUGGGAGUCUACUUUCAAGAAAUGUGAGAGAACAUGGCAAUCUAUCAAUGUAAUAUGUAUUUCAGACUCUUGCCAGGUGACAAGGGGGUGUCAGAAACAUUCUAUGUAUUCCCCAGCCUCAAGAAUUAUAAGCUUAAUAAACCUGUAUUUUCAUAAGUUACUGAGUCCUAAAUACUUUUUAAAAGUAACAAAAAAAUGGAUGAAAUUUUUUUCUGAUUUGUCACAAUGACAAAUAAUUCUUCGAUAAAUAUCAUCAGUCAUGCGUCCCUGGUGCUGAUGGGUUGAAGGGAAGCUGCUGUCUCCAUCACAGACGUGCUGGUUAAUUGGCUCAGGAGCCUAUGCAACCCACUAACAGAAGGUGAUACUUUGAUGGUGAAUGUGAUUAUCAGCCUGAUUGGCAUUUAACAAUAAUCAAGAAGACACAAUUCUGGCUGUUACAGGGUCGCUGAGACUUUUUACCAAGGUCUCAGAAUGCUGCUGAGGUCAGCCAAGAUGUAUCUGAGCUGGAUUCCCUGCAAGGAGACCCUGGAAGAACAAGGAAGUUUAGCUGAGGAUAUACCACUCCAUAGGUUUGGUUCCUAGACUGAAUAAAAUGGGAGUAAAUGGGGAGGCCAGGUGAGCACCAGGAUGUGAUGCUCUGUGUUUUCUGGCACACAAUAUGAUCUGUUCCCGUUGCUGUGCUUUCUGAUUGCUGUGACUUCCUGACCAUGUGAUCUUUAGGCUUUCGAAACUAGUUUGCAGGAGGAAUUUGGAGAGUCUUCACUGGAGGGCUAAAAAGCCCUUAAAUGAUACAGCACAGCUUAAAUGGUUGUUCUGGUGGAAGAGUGGAAGACCAUGAAUGUUGCUAGAAACAUACUGUCCUAGUUAGGGUUUCUAUCGCUGCAACAAAACUGACCAGAGCACCCUGGGGAGGAAAGGGUUUAUUGGGCUUACAAUUCCCCAUCACUGACAGGAACUCAAAUGGGGCAGGAACUUGGAGACAGGAACUAAAGCAGAAGCCAUGGAGGGAUGCUGCUGACUGGCUUGCUCCCUGAGGCUUGCUCAGCCUGCCUUCUUAUAGAACCCGGGAUCACUAGCCCAGGGAUGAACCCACCCACAAUGGGCUGGACCCUCUCUCAAUCACUAAUGAAGAAAAUGUUCAUAGGUUUGCCCACAGUCCAGGCUUAUGGAGGCAUUUUCUUAAUUGAGGUGUUUCCCUCUCAGAUAUUUUAGCUUGUGUCAAGUUGACAUAAAAUAUCCAGUACGCAUCUGUAGGCGAUAAAGGCGAUCAGGAAUAGAACAAGAGGCCAUUCAAUUACAUUCUGGCAAAAUAGUGUAGCUAUGCAUUCCUUGUCCUGAGACCUUGAAGCUGAAUUCAAAGGCAUUGGACCAAUUUGUUUGGCAGAGGAAAUUUCUAGACAAUAUAACAUUUAGACUGUGGCAUAGUUAGUGCCCACUUCUUUUCAACAGGUUCAUAGGAAGAGAGCAGAAAAAUGGGUAAAGCCAUAUGAAAAUGUACAGCGUAGAGAAGAAAGAAAGGGGAGUUAAAGUUGUAGAUACGAAGGGUGCGGAGAAAGCACAUGUUAUUGCUAAAGAACUUAAUGCAACUAAAGAGAGACUUUUCACCUAGCAUCGGAGUGACAGGACCUGAAGUUGCUUCUCAGGUCACAGCCUAAGAAAAGUAACUCUAUGGACACAUCCUAAAAUGUUCUUUAUUUGGUGUGUUCUUGGACCGUGUUCUUCCCUGAACCAAAAUCAGCUCUAAGGAUAAUCCUAAUCCCUAACUCGUUCUAAGGAUAAGCUCUAACUCCUGACUCGUUCUCCUGACUCUGCUUUCCCUUAAAGUCUUCAUUUCUUCAGCUGUGAAUUCUUUUACUUCUAAAGUUUUCAAGACUCUGAACUUAGUGGCCUCAAAGGAACACUUGAUACUCUGUGUGUGUGUGUGUGUGUGUGUGUGUGUGUGUGUGUGUGUGUGUGUAUGCGUGUGUCUGUGGUUUGUAAUGAAGACAAGUGGAGAAAAGACCUGGUAAGGGCCAAGCUUCCACAGUAUCUUUUUAACAAUCUAUCAAGUCCAGGGACAAGAGCCACCCACUUCACACUGUAGGGCCUUUCCUCCCUUCUCUUUGUGAGAGGAAGGUUGCCCUAAGACGUUACCCUGUAAUUUCAUAGUCCCAGAUUCCCUACCCCUACGAAGCUCCAAAUAUUUCUCUAAGCUGCAUCAACCCAGAAAACAAGGAAAGAGGUGCACUGUCUGAGGGCAGGGCCACUCCCUGUGCUGAUCUAGGGUAAAGGGCUGGCUUUUGGCCCCAAGCCCGAGAGUCCUCUGUGCAUGCCAGAGACUGCCCCUGCACUGGGCCUGUGCGGAUGGACAACUGCCAGGGUCUGGACUGGGUACUGACAAUGUUGAGCCUAGCUCUUGGCUACUGAGUCCAGACAGCACUGGUCUGGAACUCCUUUUCCCCACACCCCUUGAAGAUAUCAAUACUUCUUAACUGCACUUGAAAAGGGGGUAGGGGGGAGAUGGUUAAAGGGACCACAACCAAAUUGCUUGUCUCAGAGGGAAGACAUUUCAAGAGGCAGAGAGUUCAAAUGAAUGAAGGAGUUUCACAGUUUAUGUGGGGAAGACAUCAUCCGAGAGGGUCUUGUGAAUGUUCUGUGAAUAUUGUGAAUAACAUUUGUUUCCUCUUUAACACCUAAGGGGUUUUGUUUGGAUCAUUUGGCCUUUAUCAAAAAGAUGAAGUCUGAGAACCUUGGUUUCCUUGGACCACAGACCCCUUUCAUUCCCAAAUGGUCUACACCCUGGGUGACAGGUGACUUACUCCAACCUGGAGGGCAGGAGGCCCAGAUCCUCAAGGACCUCGCCUCAGAGUCCCACCCACCAGCCAAUGAGGACUCAGGGAAGUGAGGUCACUACCUCUUGAUUCCCAGCCCAACAAAGGAGACUGGGACUUGGGGUUGGGGGGGAGGGUAGUAAGUAGCAGAUGCCACCACUGAUGUUGGUAAAGAAGUAUGGAAGGGCAAAUGAGUCAGCAGCAAGUUUAAGCAAUGAACAGUUGCACCACGGGGUGUUUCUCAAAUUCUUGUCUACUUUUAGAAAGUACGCAAUGCCAUUCAGUGGGCAUCGUGAUUCUGAAAUAGCUACGAAAAUGUUAAAAAUGCUGUGGGCGAAGAUGUGCCCUCGUUGACCUCUUUCCGAAAACAAUAGCCCACAAUUGUGUUGCGAGUCCUUCGGUGAAUCCCGCCGCCGGAUCCUUGUUGGUGACAUGAAGGGAAUGUGUGACACUCUCUCUGGAGGUCCCUUCCAGUGUUGCAUUCUGGUACCUGACAUUAGGCUCACAUCCCCGAGACUCAGGCUACAUCUAUACGGGGCCAAGACCACCAAGGCGAUCCAGCGAGCAUGGACAAAAUGUUCUCCCCAAUCGAUUCUUUGGCACGGGGUAGUUGAAACAAUGAGUUAACCGGCAUUCAUUUUCAUUUCACAACUGGUGGCUCUGGCAUCAUCGCGCCCAGCGGUUUUCCCACAGCGGUGUCCUGACACGCUGCAUGCCUGGAGCAGUUUUGAGGUGUGUCAUAGGCAAAGGGCUACCUAAUAACUAACUGUUGAGCCUUUCAGAUGAUAGAUGAUCAUCCUGGUUUUAACCAAGGAGAACAGAUUCCACGUAACCGUGUAAUAAUGCCCAGCCCGUUGCUUGCACUCUGAUGAGCCUCUUUGUAUGGAAGAAGUUUCGUAGCUGGCAGAUGAGGUCUGCUUGGAGCUCCAGUUCUACUGGAUGCCAUGGGAAGAGUGUCAUGAGCCAUACACAUGGACAUCCGUCACUUGAGGCAGCCGUGGGAUGGCUAUUGGAAGGCCCUGAUACGUGCUUAGACAUUAAGCCACUAAAGACCCAAUCUCUAGGAUAACCUGGUCUAAAUAGUCUGCCACCAGUGUCAGAGGAGGCUUAGUAAGAGAGCUAGUAAAAACAGGGCAGUUCAGAAGGAGAGAGAACCAGGGCCUAGUCGUUAUGCCUGAUCCUUGCUUGGUCUAAAAAGAAACAUUCCACCGUGUUCUGUUCAUUGAUGAGGAAGGGAAUGGGGCAUGACACGGUAUAUAUUGAACAUUUGGGUAACCAUUCCUGUACCAAUCAAUCAUGGCCCGUUUAAUGCUAUUCAUGAGAGACUUGGAGUACUCAGUCUAUGAGCUCGUAUUUCCUCCCUCCUGUGGUGCAAAAGAGCACUGUCAUAUACAGGCCGCUGAGUUAUGCUAGAAAUGGUCUAUUUCAACCCAACGACAGAGCAUUGCAUUGCUGGCUUUAGACUGCUCAGAGCACCCUCUCUUGCCAGUAGGGUGCUGCAAGCCUGAGCUCUGGGUUAAUGUGGAGCACAGCCUCAAGCCCAGCUAUGCGGCAUGUCAGUCACACAGCACCUGGAAGAUGAAGUCACACUUCAUGAUUAUAGGCCAUUACAAUUUGGGGGUCACUUGUAACUGCAGCAUGAGCUAAUUUUGUGCUGACUGGCACAAUGUUUUAUAUAACAUAGUGACUUAGUAGAAAAAGUGAGAUUUCGAAUUUAGAAGGAACGGAGGUAGGAUCUUAACACUUGCUGACCAUGAGCAAAUUUACUCGGACCUCAGACUUUGGGCCAACCCAGCCUCCUUGUUCACAAGGUGGCAGUUCUAACUCCUUGCCACAAUAUUAGUUUAUAUGAAACAUGUGACAUGGGGUUUGUACAUAGAUGUUCAAUUAGGAUAAUUUCAAGUUGAUAUAUGCCUCAAAAUAGAGCUGGGAAUGGAGGGUGGGGAGAGGAAGAGGGAGAUAGGUGAGUGGGGGAAAGGGGAGGGAGAGAAAUGUAAUAAAAAGGAGUAAUUUAUUAUUGGCCUUUCAAAUGGCAUCAGAUAUUAUGGAAGACACUGACCAGGGACCCCAGGGGUAAGUGAGCGUGUGAAGUCAUCUGUGUCCCUGGCCCCAAGCUCACAGAAACUCUAAAAGGUAGAACAGACCCCGAGGAUGCCAUCUACAAUUUAGCUUUUCUACAGCCAGAGGAAAGGCCAGGUCUACGUACGGGAAUGAUCGCAGAUGCCUUCCGCAUAUAAAACACAAGGAACUGGGAGCAGGCAGCGGGAGCGGGAGGCUCUUUGCUGCUUGUUAUCUGCUGGUCUGGCUGAGGCCUCUCUCUGGGGUCUGGUGAGCUAAACUCCUCUCUUCAAUCAGCUUAUUAGUAGUAUCAGGACUCCUCUGGCGGGCUCAGCCAGGAUCCGGGAAUAUUCUGGAAAGGGAACUGUAAAGAGAGAACAACAGAGUAUUCAGGGGAAAGGGACUGAGAGGUCUCUCCCCUCAUCCUACAUGCCAGCACAUCUUUCCUUCCAACCAAGCCUGUCCUGGGGCAGGUAGGGGUGGGGACCAUUCUAAUCUGCUAUGGCCUUUCCCUCACUAUGCUUGUUGCUCUAGAAACCAUCAAGUUCCAGGGUAUCGAACUAGCUCUUCUGUGUGACUUAGUGAAUGUGGUUAGUUUUAAACCCAGUGUUAUCUUUCUUUUUAUUUAUUUAUUUAUUUGUUAUUGAUCUUAAAGAUUACCAUUAAGGGGCUAGAGAGAUGGCUCAGUGGUUAAGAGCACUGACUGCUCUUCCAGAGGUCCUGAGUUCAAUUCCCAGCAACCACAGUGGCUCCCAAUCAUCUGUAAUGGGAUCUGAUGCCCUCUUCUGGUGUGUCUGAGGACAGCAGCAAUGUACCAUCCAUAUACAUAGAAUAAAUAAAUAUAUUUUUUAAAAAAAUAAAAAGAUUGCUAUUAAACCCAGCA